rnacentral:rRNA from 1 species
GGCUCAGGAUGAACGCUAGCUACAGGCUUAACACAUGCAAGUCGAGGGGCAGCACUGGGAAUGGCUUGCCAUCCCCUGGUGGCGACCGGCGCACGGGUGAGUAACGCGUAUCCAACCUGCCCGCAACCGCGGAAUAGCCCGCCGAAAGGCGGAUUAAUGCCGCAUGAGCUCGCGUGGGGGCAUCUGCCCGCGAGCAAAGGUUCACUCCGGUUGCGGAUGGGGAUGCGUCCGAUUAGGCAGCAGGCGGGGCAACGGCCCACCUGGCCUACGAUCGGUAGGGGUUCUGAGAGGAAGGUCCCCCACAUUGGAACUGAGACACGGUCCAAACUCCUACGGGAGGCAGCAGUGAGGAAUAUUGGUCAAUGGGCGCGAGCCUGAACCAGCCAAGUAGCGUGGAGGAUGAAGGCCCUACGGGUUGUAAACUCCUUUUAUGCGGGGAUAAAAAGUGCCACGUGUGGCAUGUUGCAGGUACCGCAUGAAUAAGGACCGGCUAAUUCCGUGCC